GUGUUCAGCUGCUCAUGUGCUUGGAUAUCUGGUGAGAGCCUAGGCUCCUUAGCAAGGGCUAUGUUGCCUUUGUCUUUACAGUAUAGUGUCACGGUAUCUGAUGGCAUGACAACCAAUUCUGCAACUAACAUUAAAACCAGAAUAUAUCCUACACAUCUACAGUGUACUCAGCUUCCAUCGAUCGAUUACUUCGAACCCUUCCAAAAAAAAAUUGACACAGGAAUACACCCC
rnacentral:lncRNA from 1 species